GAUGAACGCUGGCGGCGUGCCUAAUACAUGCAAGUCGAGCGAACGGACGAGAAGCUUGCUUUUCUGAUGUUAGCGGCGGACGGGUGAGUAACACGUGGAUAACCUACCUAUAAGACUGGGAUAACUUCGGGAAACCGGAGCUAAUACCGGAUAAUAUUUUGAACCGCAUGGUUCAAAAGUGAAAGACGGUCUUGCUGUCACUUAUAGAUGGAUCCGCGCUGCAUUAGCUAGUUGGUAAGGUAACGGCUUACCAAGGCAUCGAUGCAUAGCCGACCUGAGAGGGUGAUCGGCCACACUGGAACUGAGACACGGUCCAGACUCCUACGGGAGGCAGCAGUAGGGAAUCUUCCGCAAUGGGCGAAAGCCUGACGGAGCAACGCCGCGUGAGUGAUGAAGGUCUUCGGAUCGUAAAACUCUGUUAUUAGGGAAGAACAUAUGUGUAAGUAACUGUGCACAUCUUGACGGUACCUAAUCAGAAAGCCACGGCUAACUACAUG
rnacentral:rRNA from 1 species